GCUGACUGGUAAAUUGUGAGGAAGGAAAUGCCUGCAGUGAACUGCAGACCAGAUCAGCACACUGAGAUUCUUGUUCAAGAAGACAGGAUUUUGUGUGUGUGUGUGUGUGUGUGUGUGGGGUGGGGGGUCGCUGUGAACUGAGGCUUUUCUGGGGCUGUUCAAUAGGGAAAUUAGUUAUUUUCUGCAUGUUACUGGGCUGUAGGGUGAAGGCAAGGUCUAAAUUAAGCCUCUUCAGACUUCCUCAGUUCUUUGAAAAGUGUGUGUUUGAAGAAGACCAUUUGGCUGGCAGAAGAGGGAUGUGUGGGGAGGGAAUAUCUCCUGUAAACCACGCUUUGAAAAGGGGAGGUGCCUGCAGGAGUUUCAGAGCAGAUUAAAACUGCAGGGUAUCCCCUACCUCUCUUCUCCAUUUCCGCAGACCUGCAAUAGGAAGGGCAUAGUGUACAUCCUUAUAGUGAAACAUAAAAAGUCCCUUCAGUUUUCCAGUGGUUCACUAGUGUUAAUUUUACUGUAUUCUGGCGUUUGAAUGUAAUUCACUUAGAAUUUAUUCUGGCAUGAGAUUGACAAAGAUUUAUAUUUACCUGGUUCCUUGGAGACACCCUGAUACUUUUUCAAAGCCGUUUUAUUCCUCUUCUCCCUACAAAUUUGUUUCUUUAGGAAACACUGUGAUUUUCAAACAUGUAAGUCAUACUCCAGAGAUGGUUUAUCCAAUAAGCAAGGUACACACGGGUUUACUUGUGCCUACCUACUAAUCUGUAGUCAAAAUUUUCCCUGUUUUUCACCACAUCAAAGGUGUGAUGAAACCCCCAUGAAAUUGUUCACUACUGAUUAGUGAGUAAACACAAUUAACCCUGUUGUACACCUUGCUUACUGGCUAAUCCACCCUUGCAUACUGGCAAAAUGUCAGUACUUGAUAGGCAAUCAAUUAGCUUGGCAAGUUAAAAAAAAAAAAUUGAAGAGGGAGCACUUGGAUCUGUUAGAGAGAUGAGAACUCUGAGGUGAAUGGAAGUAAAAGAAGUUGCUGCGAAGCUCAAGCUCGCUGGGAACAACUGUCCCUAGUAAAGUGAAAUAUAGGUUGUCGGCUAAUAGUUUGGAACACAAAGCAAAUUAUUGGUAAUAACUUCAAAUUUUGUCUAAAAUUUUUAAGUUGGUGAUGGUGAGGGAAGGAAUUCUGAAGUUUGAGAGAGGUGGUAUAACUUGAAAAAGUAUAUGCUUUUAGAUCUAAAAAAAAAAAAUGUCAUUUUUGUCAUGCAGGGAGUCCCCGGAUUAAGAAGGAGCUCCGUUCCUAAAUCUGUCUUUAAGUUGAAUUUGUAUAUAAGCCGGAACAGUUAGGUACAGUUUGUAUCUAAUGUUAGUUAACCAGAUGUUUGUCUUAGCACGUAGUGUUCCUUUUGUAGACAUAAAAAGCAUUAUAGAAUCAUUUCCAGAUACACUCAAAUAUCUUUAACAUGAUAAUAUGGUGAUAAUAAGAGUGUUUUAAUGCUCUUUGCAAAGUAGCACCUGUUUAUUAUUACGAGCCAUUGUAUAUACCUCAAAUUUUUAAUAUAAAUAGGCUUUAUGGGAAUUGGUUUGUAACUACAGGUUGCAUGUUAGUGGGACCUUUGUAACUGGGGACUGCCUGUGAAAACUACACAAAGGGCGUGCAGUUCUCACGUUCACCUGUGGAAGGGGCUGUGAAAAGGUUGAAAAACACUGAUCAGGUUAAGCAAGGGAAACCAGGAAGAUUGGCAGGCUGAGUGCAUCUUGAGGGACACAGCAUGUAUUAGUGACCUAUAGCACAAGAGUUUACUCUCUGAAUCAGUGAAAGCUCAGUAGUGUUACUUUCAAAACAAUAACAAAAUCAUUUCCUUCCUGUCCUUUCUGUCCUUUGGGUUAGGCACGGGCAGGAUGGAGAGUGAAUGAAAAAUUAGAGUCUGACUUGCAUGCCUAAGCAGUAGUAUCCCUUGAGAAGGAUCUGUGUCACAUUGUGUACAUGUAAGAGCCUUCACAUUGAGAGGGGUCUGAGCACCUUCCUUAGGAUGUAAGGUAGAGCUAGAUAGCAUAGCUACAGGUGGGGGCUGGGAGUGCUGUUAUCUGAUACUGAAGCAGUGGGGGAAAAGGAGAACCAGGAAAUGUUGAAUUCAGUGAGGCUCUUGCAUUUGCAAGAUUGAGGAGGCAUUUCCAGGCAGAAGUGCCUCAUUGUUGGCCAGCCUGGCUUUGCUUUACAUGGCUUCCAGACGACCUGCCAGUCACAGUGGAGGCUCCUGUGGAGGUUACACAUCUCAGAUGGUAGCUUAUGCUUAUGAUGUGCUCUAGAAAAGAAAGGCUCCCAAGGACAGAAAUCUAGGCUGCCAUUCCUGUCACCCAUAGGCUUCCAGAAAGCAGAUUGUGCCUUCCCUACCAGCAGGUGGCACUGCUGUCUCUGGGAAUUCCUGGAGGAGGUGAAAUAAUGGAGCUGGCAAACUAGCAGUGUGUAGCCUCUAGUCUACAGGAUCUUGAGAGGCUUUGUGAGAUCUCAGUCAAAGAGAAGCUCAAAGAAAAUAGUUGUGAAAGCCAAAUUGUUUACGUAAGGUUGAAAUAAUGGGUUUUGUGGAGACUGAGGGAUGGUUGUGGUUACUUUGCUAGGGGUGUGUGUGUGUGUGUUUUUGCGUGUGUAGUGGGGGAGAAGGUGGGAUGUAACCUAACAAUUAAGCAUCAUAAUACAGGUUUUGAAUUUUGGGUUGCAUAAAUUGGGUAAUUGAACCUGAAGUUGAAAUCAUGAUUCAAUUAAAAUUCCCCAUAACUUCAUAGUUUCUAAUUCGUUGCAUGUAAACCUAGCCUACACACAUGGGUGGGAUUCUGGAAACAUACAUGUGACUUUUAAACCUGAUCAAUAUCCAGUAAUUAUAAACCUUGAAGGUAGGCGUGAGAGUACUAGUAAAAAUAAUGUUGGUUAAUUAGUCAGUAUACUUCAGGGCUGGCACAGAAGGCAGGUCAAAGUUAUUCUGAAAUCAGGUUUUUCUAGAACUUGGAAGUUUCUAAUAAGUAUGGAUUUUCUUAAAUUCUGUCCCUUUGAGAUUGUAUUCACAACCCAAAACUUGAACAUUGGUUUUUUUGACCUCACGAGCCAGGGUUCAUUCAUCCAUUCUCUUUUCUGAAAUAACUAGAUGGCUGUUCUUUGAGGUGAAUUUUGUAGACAUGAUGUUUGAGGGAGAUGGGUGCUGUUUCCAGUGAAGGGGAGGUUACAGUGUAUAAUGAGGACCUCAGCUUUGACCCUGACCCAGGUAGAGUACACUGCCUUUGAUGCCAGUACGCCAGUCACCUGCUUCCUCUUUCAGUUCGUAUUCUAUGUUCAGCUUAUUGAAGGUUUAUUUCUGUCUCUCUUCAAAUGAACUGAUGAGCUUGUUUUACUACCGAUGACGAAUCCUAAAAUUCUGUUGGUGCUACCUCAACAUUGUUAGUCAUUAAAAAAAAAAAAAUUUAGGGAGAUGCAAAUCAAAACCACAAAGACAUACCACCUCACCCCCAGUAGAAUGGCUAUAAUAAAAAAAAAAAAAGGAAAAUACAGGUGUUUGCAAGGAUGUGGAGAAUUUGGAACCUCAUUCAUUACUGGUGGGAAUGCAAAAUGCCAUAGUCGCUGUGGAAAACAGUUUGGUGGUUCCUCAAAAAAUUUCAGUGUAGAGCUUAUCAUAUGAGCCAGCAGUUCGAAUCCUAAGCAUAUGGCUCAAAGAAUUGAAAGCAGGGUUGCAAACAGUACCUAACAACAAUAACAGCAAUGACCCUCAGAGGAAGGCAGGGUAUUUUAGAGAUGGGGAAAUCAAGACUCAGAGUUGUUAAGUAACUAAGGCAAGGUUACUGUGCUUGUGUCUUAUCCCAAAUUUCUUGCUCUAAACCUAAUGUAGCCAGAAUGCUCAUUAGAAGUGAGGAUAGCAAAACUUCAUCUCGCAUGCUUCGGACAUAUGAUCAGGAGGGUCGAGCCCCUGAAGAACAUCAUGCUUGGGAAAAUAGAAGGUCACCAAAAAAGAGGAAAGCCCUCAAUGAGAUGGAUUGACACAGUGACUGAAACAGUGAGCUCAAACACAGCAAUGACUGUGAGGAUGGCACAGGACCAGGCAGUGUUUCAUUCUGUUGUACACAGGGUCUCUGUGAGUCAGAAUUGACGGCACCUGACAACAACAACAACAAACGUAAUGCUGUGUUCCUGGUUGGGCUGGAGUCAGCCUUGUACAACAGAGAUUCCUGGCUGCGGAGCAGUCCGUGUGGAUAGCUCUAGCCCGCAUAAUGUGAGUGGAAGUGGGAGGUACUGAGAUCCAUUUCUAGGGAAGAGGGAGAAACUUAACAAGAUAACUCCCAUGCAGCUCCUCCAUUGUGUUUUCCACUCCUAGCUGGCUUGAAAGGAGUGAAGUCCCCAGAACAACCUUGGUCUUUGAGGGGAAGGGGAGAUUGGUGUAGGCACAGGUAUCUGGUUGCAGAAGGGGGUCACGCUCUGAACAAGGUAGGGGGCUGCCAGCCGUCCCCCCGAGUGUCUGUGAGGAAAGUGUGUCCCUGUUCCCUAGAACGCAGAGUUCGGUGGGUUCUGCAGCUGGACCACGGGCACCGAAUGCUUUUGGUUAUAAGGACUGGUAGGAAUCACUUACCCUUGGACCCCUGUCGUGGGUGGCUAGGUGACAUGGGUGGAGCCACCAGUCCUCAGGCCCCUGAUGUAGGUAGGUGAAGACUCUGUUUAAGAGGCAAAGAGUUGUCAAACAUCAAAAACCCACCUCUCCACCACACAGCUGAGACUGUUAAAGUCAGAUCUCAAGCAGAUGCACCAUUGCGGUCUACCAACAAGGGCCUAAUCUGAAAUGGGCCCACACAGCUCCAUGCAGGGGUUAAAGGUAUUCAAAGUUCACGGACCAUUUGUGCCUGGACAGGAGCCGCUUCUGUCCUGAGCUCCCCAGGUUAGUGGAGCUGGCAGAUUAUCUUUUCCCCCAAGGCCGGGAGAAUGGCUCAGGGUGUGCAUCAGGACCUAUCUCAGGCCCAGGGAAAUCAAUGGCCACUGAAGCUGGCUUGGGGGCUUGGGGAUACGGUAAAAUAAACGCAAGUACUUAGCUUUUGCCAAGAGAGCUGUUCUUCUGUGGUUUGGGAGGUGUGAGUAGACUGUGCGGCUGGCUGUCUCUCCCUGAGGAAACCACGUCCUGAAUGCCACCACCAGCCCUGCUGCAGUUGCUCUGGGGGAUUGUGCCUGAGGGGCACUGGUUCCUGCCGAGUCAGGUCUAGCAACUCCUUGCAGCUUCUGAGACAUCUCUCCGUCCCCCUGCCACUCAGUCUGACUUCUGAACUUUGCCUUUGGUGUUCAGGGAUCCUCCCUUGUCAUAUAUAUAACCAUUUCACUUGUUUUUUCAGGUCUUUGUUGUAAGAGGGAUCCUGGAAGCAUCUGACUAUUCCACCAUCUUGGCCCCGCCUCACCCCAGAGCAACCUUAAAAAUUGUUUCAGAGAUGGCAAGACUUGUCAGCCUGGGUUCCUGGAUCACUGCAUUGAGGAGGCCCACCUCAGUGACAGACCUUUCACCUGUCCAUUGGUGAUUGAUUGAUCGUGGUCCAGCAUGCAGAAGUGAGUGAGUGGUGAAAAGCAGCAGAGCUGAUGGAUUGUGAAGAUGUGUUUGAAGGCUGCCACACUCUCUACUUCAGGGUUGUGCUCAGCUAUUGUUCUGACAGAGACUUCCAUGAACACUAGGAGUUGAAAAGAAAAAGGAAAAAAAUGAAAGAAAACAGGAAAAAGAAGCAAAGAAAAGAUUGUGAGCUCCUGGGGACAGGGACCACAUGGGUCAUUUCAGAACCAGCUCCCGUACCACCUGCUGAUGUUGAUCCUGCUCCUGCACUAACACUGGAGCUCCAUAGUGCACCAACUAUUCCGUCACCAGCUCCAUCACCAGCAUCAGAUGGACAGGUAGCUGGAGGCGUAGAGUUCAAUCGUAGCCACCUCCAGAAAUGGCUCCCACACCAUCUGCUGAUGUUGGUCUUGCUCCUGCUCAACACCAAAGCUCUACAGAGCACCAAGUCUUCCAUCUCCAGCUCUGCCUCGGUCACUACAGGUUGAGCCAUUUGCUACACCUCCUCUACAGCCACUCCUCGUUCAUGGGUAGGGAACGUCAGCUCCAGAACCACACCCUUUCUUCAAUUCACCGGAGUGGGAUUUUUUUUUGGUUUUGUGGUAGUAUUUUUCCAAAUCACUAUAUGCUAUUUUAACAGGUAGAUUUCUCAUAAAAUCAAAAUUGUUUUAAUAAUUUUAACAUGUGUAGUAUAGUGGCUUCAGGUACUUUUACAGUCUUAUUCAAUCAUCAUCAGUAUCUACUUCAGAACAUUUUCAUCACCACUGUGAUGGUUAAUGUUACAUGUCAGUUUGGUUAGGCCACGAUUCUCAGGGGUUUGGCAGAAAUUAUGUAAUCAGCCUCCAUUUUGUGAUCUGAUGUGAGCAGCCAAUCAGUUGGAAGAGGAGUUUCCUUGGAGGAGUGAACUGCAAAUUAACACAUCUCCUGGUACCUGGUAUCCAGCCAUUAAUCUGGCCAAUGCCUUUUUCUUCAUCCUCAUUUUGAAGAACAGGCCCCUCUCGGUGAAUCACAGCGCUGAUCUGUAGGAUUUUGGAGCAAAGCCCUGCCAUCCUCUGCAGAUAGCUACUCUCCUUUUGAGAAACAGCUUUUGGCUUGAUACUGGGCCUUUGUAGAGACUGAACGCUUAACCAUGGGCCACCGACUCACCAUGUGGCCUGAGCUUCCCAUUAUGAACUGGAUGUUGUUUGACCCACAGAAUCAUAAAGUUGGACCUGCCCAGCAGCACUCCAUCAUUAAUUGAAGCAGUAUAUACAAGAUCGGGCCUGAGCAGGAUGUGAGGGUCCAAGUAAGUUGCAUGGGGAAAUGCCCCAAUGCCCAUGGUCUCCACUCAUGUCACAUACCUUUCAUCUCCCAGGCUGCACCUGUGGCCUCAUGGGGAGCUCUUUAUGAUCAGGUGACUGAAGAUGAGAAAACUCGUACCUUGUUUACAGAUGGCUGUAUGCAAUAUGCAGGCACCACUUGAAAAUGGAGAGCGGCAGCACUACAGCCCCUUGCUGGGACCUCCCUGAAGGACAGUGGUGAAGGGAAAUCCACCCAAUGGGCAGAAGUUCAAGUAGUGCACCUGGGUGUUCACUUUGCCUGGAAGAAGAAAUGGCCAGAAGUACGAUUGUAUGUAUACUGAUUCAUGGGCUGUGGCCAGUGGUUUAGCUGGAUUGUCAAGGACUUGUAAGGAACAUGAUCGGGAAGCUGGAGACAAGGGUUUAUGGGGAAGAAAUAUGUGAAUAUACCUCUUUGAAUGGGCCAAAGAAGUGAAGAUAUUUGUAUCUUAUGUGAAUGCUCACUAAAGAGUGACCUAAGCAGAUGAAGAUUUUAACAAUCAAGUGAAUAGGAUGACGUGUUCUUUGGAAACCGCUCAUCCUCCUUUCCCAGGUACUCCCAUCAUUACUCAUGAACAAAGUGGCCAUGAUAGCAGGGAUGGAGGUUAUGCCUGGGCCCAGCAACAUGGACUUCUACUCAUCAAGGCCGACUUGUUGACAACCACUGCUAAGUGCCCAGUAUGCCAGCAGUAGAAACCAAAAUUGAGUCCCUGAUAUGGCCCUACCCCUCAAAGUGAUCAUCCAGCAACCUGGUCGCAAGUUGAUGACGUUGGACCACUUCCAUCAUGGAAAGGGCAGCGUUUGGUUCUUACAGGAAUAAACGCUUACUCUGAAUAUGGAUUUGCCUUCCCUUCAUGCAAUGCUUCUGCCAAAACUACCACCCAUGCACUUACAGAAUGCCUUAUCCACCAUCAUGGUAUCCUACGUGCAUUUCCUUGAAUCAAGGGACUCACUUCACAGCAAAUGAAAUGCAGCAGUGGGCCCAUGCUCAUGAAAUUCACUGGUUUUACCAUGUUCCCCAUCAUCCUGAAGCAGCUGGUUUGUUAGAAUGAUGGAAUGGACUCCUAAAGACACAAUUACGGUGCCAGCUAGGUGGCAAUGCCUUGCAAGGUUGGUGCAGUAUUCACCUAGAGGCUGUAUAUGCUCUAAACCAGUGUCCAAUAUAUGGUAUUGUAUCUCCCAUAGCCAGGAUUCAUGGGUCUAGGAACGAAUGGGUGGGAAUAGGAGUGGCACUACUCACUAUUACCCCUAGUGACCUCCUCACAAGAUUUUUUGCUUCGUGUCCCCACAGCCUUAUGCUCUGCAGAUCUAGAGGUCUUAGUUCCAAAGGGAGAAGUGCUGCCACCUGGAGAUGCAUCACUGAUUCCAUUGAACUGGAAGCUAAGAAUGCUACCUUCCACUUUGGGCUCCUUAUGCCACUGGAUCAACAGGCAAAGAAGGGAGUUACUGUACUGGCUAGUGUGAUUGAUCCUGAUUAUCAGGAGGAAAUCGGAUUGAUAUUACAUAAUGGAGGUAAAGAAGAGUACAUCUGGAAUUCAGAAGAUCCCUUAGGGCAUCUCUUGGUACUACCAUGCCUUGUGAUUCAAGUCAAUGGAAUAGAGGCAGGGCCAAGAUGGCAGAGUAGUCAGAUGCUUCUCGUGGUCCCUCUUACAAAAAAGACCUGCAAAAACAAGCAAAUCGAUUACAUAUGGCAAUGUAGGAGCCCUGAAUGUCAAAGACAAAGUCGAGGAAUUGGACCGAGUGGCAGAGGGAGGAAGAAACAGUUCAGAAGCAGUGAGAAGUUGCCAGGCCUGACCUGGCCAGCACUGGCACCCUGCAGGCUAGAUUGGCUGGCGCAUGUGGUGAGGAAAGUGGUGGUUUUGGGACCAGUUCUCCACCUUGGGAGAGACCAAUUGGUGGAGAGUCUGCUCAAGUCUCCAGAACCAGUGAGAAAUGCUGCUCAGUCAGCGAAAGAUAAGUACAAGCAUCUAACCUACCAUAUGGAUCAAAAUAGAAACAAAAACAAAACCCUUUUUAUCUGCAUUUUCCUUGCUGUGCUCUGGGUCCUGGUCAGGCUUUAGAAAGUGCUGUGCUCCCUGGGCAGGAAGUAGGACCCAUCAUGUGUCCUGAGCCAUUCUCCUCACUUUGGAGAGGGAACAAAUUAAUAAAUGGGGAAAAAAUAAUCUGCCAGUUCCUCUACUCUGGGAAUACAGGGCAGGCAGAGGCUCCCUGCCUAGGCACAGGCAUUAGGGGUCCAUGGACUUUGUAUGCCUUUCACCCCUGCUUAGACCUGUGUUAGCCCAUUUCAACAGCGUAGGCCCUCAUUAGCACAGUAUAAUAGGGUUUAUACCUGAAGCCUAUUUUCAUGUGUAUCUGCUAUAAGGUGGAGUGGUAGAUUUGUGACAGUUGACUCUGCCCUGCCCAUUUAGCAGGGUCCUCACCUACCCACAUCAGGGGCCUGCAGACUGGUAGCUCCACCCAUUCCACUGAGCGACCUGCAACAGGGGUCCAAGAAUAAGUGGUGACUCCCAGCCAUUACACCCGACAGCAUUGGGUGCCCAUAAUCUGGCUGCAAAAUCCACCUACCUAUGUGCUCUUGGGAGCAGGGACAUGCCUUCUAGAUAGACAUUCAGGGACAGCAGUCAGCCCCUAGCCUUGAUCAGUGCAUGACCCUCUACUGCAGCCAAAUACCUGUGCCUACUCCAAUCAUCCCUCCCAUCUAGGACUGUAAGUGAGAGCCUACACCUCACACUUGGUGACCAAUGACCUGGACACCUGAUCAGAAUCCUCACAAGAAAAGGAAAUGGACUCCUGGACUCACAUACCUAGUAAGAGUUCUAGCAGCCUGGAGACAGAAUGUGAGAGUUUCAAAGGCAUGAAUAACCAAAUUAGUUCACGCCACCACCCUAUUUGGGCAUAUAAAAACAAAACAAGAAGCAGGGACACAGUAAGCAAACAAUAAAGGAAUAAAUAAAAUAAAUUAUUGAUGGCUCAGAGGCAACAGUCAAUAUCAAAUCACAUAAAGAGGCAGAGACCAUGAUGGCUUCAUCAAGCCACCAAAACAAAGAGUCAAGAAACCUUCCUGAGGAAAAUAAUGUCUUGGACUUACCAGAGGUAGAAUUCAAAAGGCUAAUAUACAGAACUCUUCAAGAGACCAGAAGGAGAUCAGGCAAAACAGAGACCACACCAAGGAACACACAGGCAAAACAGUAGAGGAACUUAACAGGUUUAUACAACAGCAUUAUGACAAAUUUAAAAGGCUGCAAGAAUCUGUAGAGAGACAGCAAACAGAAAUCGAAAAGAUUAACAAUAAAAUUUCAGAAUUAGACAACUCAGUAGAAUGUCAUAGGAACAGAAUUGAAGCAAUGGAAGUCAGAAUUGGUGAUACUGAAGAUGAAGCACUUGACACCAACUUAUUUGAGGAAAGUCAGAUAAAAGAAUUAAAAAAAAUGAAAAAACCCUAAGAAUUAUGUGGGACCCUAUCAAGAAGGAUAACCUGCAAGUGACUGGAGUACCAGAACAGUGGGGGCAUAAGAAAAAAUGCAGAGAGAAUUGUUGAAGAUUUGUUGGCAGAAAACUUCCCUGAAACCGCAGCAGAUGAGAAGCUAUCCAAGUUGUUCAUUGAACCCCACACAAGGUAGAUCCCAAAAGAAAAUCACUGAGACAUAGUCAAACUUGCCAAAACCAAAGAUAAAGAGAGAAUAUUAAAAGUGGCUAUACAUUAAUGAAAAGUCAUUUACAAAGGAGAGUCAACAAAACUAUGCUCAGACUACUCAGCAGAAACCAUGCAGGUAAGAAGGCACUGGGAUGACAUAUAUAAAGCCUUGAAGGAAAAAUAUUGCCAGCCAAGAAGUAUAUAAUCAGCAAAACUGUCUCUGAAAUAUAAUGGCGAAAUUAGGGCAUUUCCAGAUAAACAGAAGUUUAGGGAAUUUGCAAAAACCAAACCAAAAUUGUGAGAAAUACUAAAGGGAGUCCUUCAGUUAGAAAGUCAAAAACAUCAGAUAACAACCCAAGACUCGAAUACAGAAGAGAUAUCACACAGAUAUCGACCCAGAUAGGGACAUCACAAAAAUAAAUCAAAGCUAAAACACUGAAAAUAGGGAAAAAGAGACAUCAAUAGUAAAAGAUGACAACAUGAAAACAAAAAAGAGGAACUAAAAAGUGUAGUCAGAAAUCUUCCAUAUGGAGAGGAUGUCAAGGCAAUAUAAAGAAAUAAACGAUUUGUUUCAACUUAGAAAAAUAGGGAUAGAUAUUAAGGUAACCACAAAGGAAACUAACAAUCCUACAUAUCAAAAAAAAAAAAAAAAACCCAUAAAGACUCAGCAAAUACAAAAUCAACAACAAUGAAAAAGAAAAUAACAUAAAGAAAAACAACACAGCAUAGAAAAUUAAGUGUAACAGAGAAACUCUCCACGGUACGCACACACACACACAGACACACACAAAUACAUCAAAAUGACAGCACUAAACUCAUACCUGUCACUAAUUACACUGAAUGUAAAUGGACUAAAUGCACCAAUAAAGAGACAGAGAGUGGCAGAAUGGAUGAAAAAAAAGAUCAGUCUAUUUGCUGCCUACAAGAGACACACCUUAGACUUAAAGACACAAAUAAACUAAAACUCCAAGGAGGGAAAAAAAUAUACCAAGCAAACAACAAUCAACAAAGAGCAGGAGUGGCAAUAUUAAUCUCUGACAAAAUAGACUUUAAAGCAAAAUCCAGCACAAAGGAUAAGGAAGUACACUAUAUAAUGAUUAAUGGGUCAAUACACGAGGAUAACAUAACCAUAAUAAAUAUAUACACACCCAAUGACGGGGCUCCAGAAUACAUAAACUCUAACAGCAUUGAAAAGAGAAAUAGACAGCUCCGCGAUAGUAGUAGGAGACUUCAGCCCACCAUUUUCAGUGAAGGACAGAAGAUCCAGAAAGAGGAUCUAAAAAGACACAGAAGAUCUAAAUGCCACAAUAAACCAACUUGACCUCGUAGACAAACACAGAACACUCCACCCAACAGCAACCAAGCAUACUUUCUUUUCCAACGCACGUGGAAGAGUCUCCAGAAUAGAUCACAUAUUGAACCCCAAAGCAAGCCUUAACAGAAUCCAAAACAUUGAAAUAUUACAAAGCAUCUUUUCUGACCAUAAAGCCAUAAAAGUAGAAACCAAUAACAGGGCCGGCAGCUCUCUCUGGAGGGUUAUGAUGAAAAGCUGAGACAUAGCCUGGCCAGAAGCCCAGGGUAGAUCAGUCACCCCUUUUCAUGGAUUGAAUUGUGUCCCCCCAAAAUGUGUGUCAAUUUGGCUAGUCCAUGAUUCUCAGUAUUGUGUGACCUUCAUUUUUCAUCUGAUGUGGUUUUCCUAUGUGUUGUAAAUCAUACCUCUAUGAUGUUAACGAGGUGGGAUUAGUGGCAGUUAUGUUAAUGAGACAGGGCUCAAUCUAAAAGAUUAGGUUGUGUCUUAAAUCAAUCUCUUUUGAGAUAUAAAAGAGAGAAGCAAGCAGAGAGACAGGGGGCCCUCAUACCACCAAGAAACAAGAGCUAGGAAAAUAGCGCACCCCUUGGACUUGGGGCCCCUGUGCUAAGAAGCUCCUAGAGCAGGGGAAGAUUGACGACAACGACCUUCCCCAGAGCUGACAGAGACAGAAAGCCUUCUCCUGGAGCUGGCACCCUGAAUUCAGACUUCUAGCUUCAUAGACUGAGAGAAUAAACCAUCCGCUUGUGAAAUUUCUGUUAUAGCAGCACUAGAUAACAAAGACAUGCCUGUAUCAGUCAGGGUACAAUCAGAAGGCAAAAAAGCACACCAGGUUGUUUUUUCAAAGCAAAAAUUUAAUAUAAAUAAUUUCUAAUUAAACAAACAAAAAACUUGUUGCCUUCGAGUUGAUUCUGACUCAUAGUUGGGCCCCAUAGGGUAGAGUAGAACUGCCCUAUAGGGUUUCUGAGGAGUGCCUAGUGAAUUUGAACUGCCGACCUUUUGGUUAGCAGCUAAACUGGUAACCACUAUGCCACCAGGGUUCCCAAAUUAGGCAACUGAAAAGGCAAACAAUUAUCUGGGAGUAGAAACUGCAGUAAGUAGCUAGCACUUCUAGGGCUGGAGAAUAACAGGAAGAGGCUGAAAUUUAUGAAAACUUAGAAACUCAGGGAAGGGUCCUGGGGGCUGGGACCCAGACCUCUGAGGAGAGGGUACUGCUCAGCAAAUGCUGGUGUCUUUGAGGGGCUCCAUGAGGUGAGUUCAGUAGUGUUGCAGAAACUGCAGACUGGACCCAAUGCUUCUUACAGGACCAGGAAGCAAACAGGAAGGAGCAAGUGCCUGCCUUCUCCUCCAGCCUGCGGUAUUCCUCUAUCGCCCUCUAUUGGCAGACCCGAGUGGGGAGCCACUGCAAAGCAGAAAUUUGGUUGCCCUGUCCCAGCGCCAGCAUCACAAAGCUGACUAUGGAAGAGCAUGUUUGGAGUUGAGAGGCAACAACUUGGUAACUGGCACGUCUUUCCAAAGGGUACAUUUUGCAGGAGUCAUGGAGACGAGCUGCCUGUGACCUGACCAGCACAGGCCAACCCCAAGAAUAUAAGUCAAAGGGAGAAGAAGCAAGAAAAUAAUUUGGAGGCCCAGCAGUUACAGCUCUCCCCGUCAUCUGCCUCGAUUUUACGUGAGCUCUUCCCUGAAAUGAAGCUGCCGGGACACUGCUGGGUUUUCAGAACAACAGCCCAUGGCUGAGUGACCUCAGCCCUCAGAGCAGACCCAGGUCUCUGGCAUACGAGGUCCAGCUGGCCGGGGAGGCAAAAUCAACCACUUUGGCUCCAACUAUCCAAUGAUCAGGCCAGCCUUAAAACUUCCUCUUGGAGAAGGUAACCUCAACUUUAGCUCUAUUAUUGUUGUUAUUAUUUACUAUUUCUUGAAGUAUGAUAUACAUACGGAAACCCUGGUGGCGUAGUGGUCAGCAGUUCGAAUUUACCAGGUGCUCCUUGGAAACCCUCUGGGGCAGUUCUGCUCUGCCCUAAAGGGUUGCUGUGAGUCGGAAUUGACUCCAUGGCAACAGGUUUGGUUUUUGGUUAAUAUAUAUACAGAAAUAUGAACACAUAAACUUACAACUCAGUACAUUUUCAUAUACUAGUUUCUCCGUUGUAGAUAGUCCCCAGAUGAAGGCACAGAAUAUUACUAGCACCCAGAAGAUCUUUCUAGUCACUACUUUUUCCAAGGAUAACCAUUCUGACUAAUAACGUGCAUUAGUUUUACCAAUUUUUAUUCUUCAUAUAAUAGAGUGAUACAGCAUAUUCUCUUUUAUAUCUAGCCUCUUUCGCUCAACUUUUCAUAUGUAAGAUUCAUCCAUAUUGUUGCAUGUAAUUGUAGUUUGUAUUGUCGUUGCUGUAUAGUGUUUCAUUUUGUGAAUUCAACUCAAUUUUUUUAUUCAUUAUGUUGUUGAUGGGCAUUUGGGCAGUUUCUAAUUUGGAGCUGUUAUAAAUAAUGCGAGUGGGAACAUCUCAGUACAUUUGGGGGGGUUCAGGUGCCAUUUCUGUGGAAAUAACCUAGGAGUGGAAUUGCUGGGUCACAUAGUGCAUGUCUGGGAGCCCUGGUGGCACAAUGGUUAAGAACUUGGCUGCUAACCAAAAGAGCAGCAGUUUAAAUCCACCACCUGCUCCUUGGAAACCCUAUGGGGCAGUUCUACUCUGUCCUAUGAGUUGGAAUUGACUCCAGGGCAAUGGGUUUGGAUGGCUUAGUGUGUGUCUAUGUUUAGCUUUAGUAGAUACUGCCAAACAGUUUUCCAAAACAGUAGGCCCAUUCUUAACCUAACAUGGAAUGCCCCACCCCGUUCUGGAGCCCUGUUGGCUUGGUGGUUAAGAACUCAGGCUGCUAACCAAAAUGUCCAUGGUUCAAAUCCACCAGCUGCUCCUUGGAAGCCCUAUGGGGCAGUUCUACUUUGUCAUAUAGGGUUGCUAUGAGUCACAAUUGACCCGAUGGCACACAAGAGCAAGAAACCCCCAUCCUAUCCCUUCCUUGAGUUGUGAGCAUUCUCAAACGUGACAUUACUUCUCACAUGCAAGAUUUACAAAUUUCUACCAAAACUUCAGUGCUAACAUUUCAAAACAAGUAAAUGCUUCCAUGAAAUCCAUCCUCAGCAGUGGCAGACUGGAAAAGCAGAGAAUCUGAAUGACAGCUGGAAAGCCCAGAUGCCAAGAUGUUUUUCUUUGUUGAGGAGAGAGCUGGGAGCCUUUUGCAAACACCACUGCCAGGCAGGCUUGCUGAGCUUUGCAGGGCUCAUUACAACACUUGGGCAAGCAAGGGGGUGGGCCCUGCACAGUGAUUCGAAUUGAGCCAUCCCAGGGCUUCUGACUAAUUGUAAACACAGAGAGCACUUAAAGGCUAUGAUUUAAAAAAAAAAAAAGAAAAAACUCUUCAGGGUGCUAGUGAUUGCAUGGCUGGCAGGCAGGGGUGCCAGGGAAAAUCUCCUGCCACUGACUAAAUCACGCCAAGCCUUGCUUCACACAGCCAUCCUCCCAGUCCUGCACCGAGGAAGGGCUUUCUUUGUGUCCUGCAGGAGCUGGAAGGGAAGGGGUCAAUUCAUUUCCAUUGUUGAGGGCCCUUCUGUGAUAAACCUGCUAUUUUCUUGCUCUUACAAAGCAGGGAUGGGCAGACUGGGGUGAUCUAAGCUUCUGGAGGGAGGCUGUUGUAUGUGCAAGCUUUGAUCCCCAUUAGCUACAAACCCCAAAUAAUCCAUAAAGUCUGCAAAUCAGGCUGCAAUGAAUCGGACUUAUUAACAUGUCCUGGAACCUGCCAGGAGAAGCUGCGAAUGUUUGCCAGGGAGGAAAGCCACACUUUUGGGCCUCACUGCAAAAGCUUGUCUGCUCAGGUGAAAACUCCUGGGCUCGCUGGGAGGGAAGAAAGAUCUGAAACUGAAAGGCUGCUUUGGUGCCCCCAGGUCAUCUGGAAAAGUGUCAGCAUGGUUCAGGUUUGAGGGGUGAUUUGCUGUGAGGUGGAGAAAUGGAACAGGAACGCAUUUCCCUGCCUCCCCGGCCCUUGGGGCCCUGCCUGGCCUGGGCCCUACUGAGUUCUCAGCACAAAACCACCGUCCUCCCACCAGCCUCUGAGAAGAGACAGGCAACCUAAGGCCUGAAAAAACUGUCAGAGGCUGGGCUCCGAAGGGAAGACUGAUGGUGAAAAGUUGAUUGCAUUAAUAGCCUUGCUUACUCCCUGGAGCUAUAACCCAACCCAAGCUGUAACCCAACCCAUUGCUGUUGAGUCAGUUCCAACUCAUAAUGACCCUACAGCACAGAGUAGAACUGCCUCAUAGUGUUCCCAAGGACCGACUGGUGGAUUCGAACUGUCGACCUUUUAAUUAACAGCUGAUUUCUUAACUACUUUGCCACCAGGGCUCCACUCCCUAGAGUGGGGGUGGGGGGGGGACCCUUAAUCUUACUUGAUCUGUGGAUCCCUUGGGCAGUCUAGUGGAGCCCAUGGACCCCUUUUUAAAAUAAAAAUUUUAAAUACAUAAGACAUAAUGUAUAAUAUUAUAUUAAAAUACAGCUUUCAAAAAUAUUUAAAGUAUUAUGAUAGUAAGUGUGGCUGAAAUACCAAGAUCUAGUAACAGAUUGAUGAUUGCAGUAAUUUUGAAAUAAUGAUGAAUGUAAGCAAUACUUCCAGCUAUCUCCAAUAACUGUAACCUUGUAUAGGAGUAUCUGUGAUUUCUGUUGGUGACAGUUACAAUUACUGCUUACACUCCUGUGGUGUGUUACCUACAUUCAUUACGGAAGGUAAUGCUAAAUUUCAGUUAGAGGUUAGUGCAAAUGUGAUUUUUCUCUUCCAAGUUGACAAACCUCUUGAAUUCUACCCACAGAUUCCCUGGAUUAAGAACCCCUUAAGCAGCCCUGGUGGCGUAAUGGUUAAACUCUUGGCUGCUGACUGAGGCUCAGUUCGAAUUCACCAGCAGCUCCAUGGGAGAGAAGACCUGACAAUCUGCUCCCUUAAAGACUGCAGCCUUGGAAACCCUUUGGGGCAGUUCUCUGUCCUGUAGGGUUGUUAUGAGUCAUAAUUAACUCGACGGCACACAACGACAAGAAGAAACCCUUGUUUGAUAUCACUUACCGAUGGCUUAAACUGUUUUUAAAAAUAUACAUCCAAGGUUAUUAAUAAACAUUCCCCUUGUUUCAAAAGAGAAUAAUUAAAAAUGAUUCUUACGAAGAAUUAUUCUUAAGGACAUUGGCAUUAAAAUAUUUUAGUGGCUCUUCACAAUACUUGAGUUGAGAUACAAAGAGAUACUUAUCCUUUCCGUCAUUCUUCUAUUUAUCUAUUAAGAAUUUUCUGAGUCGAAAUCGACUCUAUGGCAAUGUUUUUUUUUUUAACACAGCAAUUAGGGACAAAACCUGCCACAGUGAUUAUAACAAGUUUAGCUGGUGGCAGACACCUAGCUGUUCCCCAAAGAUUUGUUCUCUCCUUCCAUAGACUAGAGUUGUUCCUGGGAAGUUGCUGCCAAGCCAAGGACUGUGUGUCCCACCCCUUGCAUUUAGGUGGAGGUGAUAAGAUGAGCUCUCAGCAGGGGAAUGUGAGCAUAAGUGAUGGAUGCCUCUUCCAGGCCAAGGCUUUGAAGAAGAGCACAUGCCUUCCUCACCCUCUUUUCUUGUGUCUGCCAGUUGAUAUUGAAGAAGUCAGCCUGGGUCCUGGAAUGACUCACGGAACAAAGUGCCCCCCAGUCCCCUUCCACAAUUUUCAAGACCCAUUUCGGACAUCACAGGGUUGAAUGAUAAACUUCUAUUGUGCUAAAACUAUUGAGAUUUUGGGGUUUGUCUGCUACAGCGGCCACUUUUUCCGUAACUAAAUAGAAGAGGCAUCAAUUAGGGAUUUUGCAUGGGGGCUCUAUUUCCCUACCUAUCACGGAUGGUAUGGCAGGUAUUGCAAACUGGCUCACUCAAUUCCAUCCCAACCCUUUUGUAGUGGGAAAGCUAAAUGGGAGGAAGUCAAAGAUAUUUCCUCAUUUCCCAGAUACCCAUUUAUAGUUCAGGUUUCACAUGAGAUAUAGGUUGUUCCAGGGGUGUACUUGUGUGUGAUUUAGACAGCAGAGAUGAACAUAAUGAGGUCAUGCUCCUACUAUUUCUACUGUUUCUUUUGUCAAGCAUUAUUGUGAGGCUACAGAUAAUAGAAAAAUCCACUUUCAAGGGCUUAAACAAAUAGGCACUUAUUUUUUCACCUAACAAGAAGUUUGGAGGUAGGCCGAUACUGGUGUUGGUUCAUGAGUUCAACAGUGUCAGGGUCAGCGUCUGUGCAAUUCUUUUGGAUGUUCCCUCAUGGUUGCAAGGCCAUUGCUGCAGCUCCAGCCAUCACAUCUGUAUUCUAGGCAGAAAAAAAAAAGAAGAAGAAGUAGAAAAGGGGAACAGCAAUGCCAACUGGUUCUUUUUAUCAGAAAGGCAAAAACUUUCCCAGAAGUCUUCACAACAACUUACCUGUAGAUCUCACUGUCCAAAACUGGGCACAUUGCCACCUGAACAAAAUUAGAAUUCUGUUGGCAUGGAAGAGGGGAGGAUAGCUAUAAAAAUAGAAGUCAUGGUUGUUAUUCUCAAAGACCUGUAAUGGCUUUGUAGAAACAAAACAUACGCAUGUACACUUGAAUAAUAAUACCAGAGUUAAGAAAAGCUAUAAGACAAUAAUAUAAGUUACAGAGCAGACAUUUUAGAGGCGAUGGGAACUGUAGGGGUUUUCAGGAGGGCUGGUGUGAAGGACCAUGCAUCUCAGUUGAACUCUGUGGGUAGCCUCUUGCUUGCCCAUGGUGCCACGCUAGCAUCACCUGCCAGAGCAAACCAGUGUUCUGAGCGAGCGUCCAAAUGAAGCGCCCUUGGCAGGAUUGAUGGGCAGCAAGUGGUGAACCUGGCCUGGCCCUGGGCGGAUGAGAAGGUACUACAGGGACCGAGAAAGGGUCCCGAACACAGCUCCAGAAGUUAGUUUUGUGAGUGGAGCAUUUCCCUGGAUGCCAGAAAUGAUAAGGAUGGCCACCUGCCUGUAAUUAAUCCAAGUCUCCUUAGUCACCCAGACGUCAUACAAGCUCUAAAUUUGCCUCCAGAGAGUAAGGGGCCCUCACCCUGGAAUUACUGGCAAUUGCCUUUUGAAGUGAGAUUUAUUGACAUGAAUGAUCCCAGUCCCCUAUGGAGUUGCCUUGACCACUGAGAUGAUAAAUUUACCUUCUAUGGCAGCAGUGCUCCUGAGGAAUGAGUAUAAAGUAUUUGGAACGAGUAUUUCUAGUUUUUAUUUUAAUUUGGUGGCUCUUGUGAUAUUGGUCCCUGGAUCAUUUGUCAUUCAAGCUCAGCUUUAUUUUUCUCACUAACAGGGUUCAACAACCUAUUGGGACGCUGCUUUGAACAAGCAUAAAAAUCUACAAUAGCACCUCUCCCAUAUCCUUAGGGCCUUACCACUUCCUUAUGUCUCACGCCUACUUCCAACUGCCAGUCUCCAAUCUCUCUACCUGAGGGCUUUCUCUGAAACUGUAGAAAGCCUCUCUCUGCCCACACUGCAGGCCAGAGUGCCUGAGACUCAUACCACCCUCCCUUCAGUGUAGCUAUCAACCAAGGACUGAUGGGAUUUGACGAAUAUACAUAGCUCCUCCACCCCUGUGGUAGGAUAACCCUGACGUGUGUGUUACCCCACAUGUGUGAGCAUGUGAGGCAUAUGCCCAUGGCUUGUUGCCUACCAGACCUUUGGCACUUCAUCUCUUGUAGAAUCUCUCUGGGCAGCUUCCUGGGCUGGACUCCUCUUUCUAUCAUUAAUGAAAUCUGGAGAUAGCAAUGCUUCUUCCCCUUGGUCUUCCUGGGGUUGCCAGGGCUUUUUCUUUUCCAGAGAUAAUUGAUAACAUUCCUCACUUCAUGUGCGAGCCUGCUUAGGGGAGCCAGUGCAAGGCAGAUAGGAGAGAAGAACUCAACAUGUUACCUAAGCUCCUGAAUUUUCCCCAAUACAUCCUUGUUGGAAAAAAGAAACCAGUUCCUAAAUUUUGGUGCCACUCUUUGGUCAGCUUUAACCUCAAAACAACCUCAAGAGAUUAUAAAUUCUUUUUUUUUGGGGGGGGGGGAAUUUUUCAUUAACACAGGUGAACUCCCCCUUUUUUCAUAGAUAGCCUUUUAGUAAAACCCAAUGUGUACAGAAGAGAGAAGCUGGCUGCCUAGGCUUGGGCAAUAUUGAUGGUUAGUCCACUCAGGGAGUCAAAGAGACAGAAUGUCCCUUGAACAUUAGGGAAUCAAAAAGAGAUUCCUAAGCACUCGGAAAAGUCAUGUAAAAAGGAAGGUUUGAAAAAAGAAACAAAAGGAAACAUGUACAUGUACUAAACAUCUAUUCUGAGAUGGGCACUUA